rnacentral:tRNA from 1 species
UCCUCAUUAGUAUAGUGGUGAAUAUCCCCGCCUGUCACGCGGGAGACCGGGGUUCGAUUCCCCGACGGGGAG